rnacentral:lncRNA from 1 species
UGAUGGUAUGAUCACCAGUCAAGAACUCUAGGAGCAGACAAUGGUCUGUAAUGUACAAAUGGGUGUCAACGACUGACAUUGUGUUUUCUAAUUAAUAAUGUAGUUUCAUGAAACGUCAUAAAAGUAUGGAACCUUUGAUCUAAUCGUCUCGACUGAGUGCAGCUGCUAACUUUGAUUGGAUGUGGUCUACUCCAGCACGCGGGGAAAAUCUAGGAAUGACUUCCUGCAAUCGACGUCAUGGAGUGAAAUGGAAUGAGGGGUGGGAGAAGAGAGAGAAAAGGCAGUAUUAAGUUUUUCUUUAAGGCCGUCGCACAAACAGCAGCCGGGCUUUGAGUAAAGAAUCAACUGUUUCCUCCUUGAUGCGGAUGAAGAUGAGUAGUUGCAGGCGGUAAUGUUCAGUUUUCGGGUGAAGUUUAUUAUGGUUGCUGGUGAUGUUCGUCUUGUUGCUGGUAGCAGCACAAUCGCGGAGGC